rnacentral:rRNA from 1 species
UAUACUUAGUGGCGGACGGGUGAGUAACGCGUGGGCAACCUGCCCCGUGCCGGGGGAUACCGCCUGGAAACAGGCGCUAAUACCGCAUAAGCGCAUACAGCCGCAUGGCAGUAUGCGGAAAGCUCCGGCGGCACGGGAUGGGCCCGCGCCCGAUUAGCCAGUUGGCGGGGUAACGGCCCACCAAAGCGACGAUCGGUAGCCGGCCUGAGAGGGCGGACGGCCACAUUGGGACUGAGACACGGCCCAAACCCCUACGGAAGGCAGCAG